UGCGUAGGCGGGUCUUUAAGUCAGGGGUGAAAUCCUGGAGCUCAACUCCAGAACUGCCUUCGAUACUGAGGAUCUUGAGUCCGGGAGAGGUGAGUGGAACUGCGAGUGUAGAGGUGAAAUUCGUAGAUAUUCGCAAGAACACCAGUGGCGAAGGCGGCUCACUGGCCCGGUACUGACGCUGAGGCACGAAAGCGUGGGGAGCAAACA
rnacentral:rRNA from 1 species